rnacentral:rRNA from 1 species
AACACAUGCAUUCUAGCGGUAGCACAGAGAGCUUGCUCUCGGGUGACGAGCGGCGGACGGGUGAGUAAUGUCUGGGAAACUGCCUGAUGGAGGGGGAUAACUACUGGAAACGGUAGCUAAUACCGCAUAACGUCGCAAGACCAAAGUGGGGGACCUUCGGGCCUCAUGCCAUCAGAUGUGCCCAGAUGGGAUUAGCUAGUAGGUGGGGUAACGGCUCACCUAGGCGACGAUCCCUAGCUGGUCUGAGAGGAUGACCAGCCACACUGGAACUGAGACACGGUCCAGACUCCUACGGGAGGCAGCAGUGGGGAAUAUUGCACAAUGGGCGCAAGCCUGAUGCAGCCAUGCCGCGUGUGUGAAGAAGGCCUUCGGGUUGUAAAGCACUUUCAGCGGGGAGGAAGGCGAUAAGGUUAAUAACCUUGUCGAUUGACGUUACCCGCAGAAGAAGCACCGGCUAACUCCGUGCCAGCAGCCGCGGUA